ACCAAGGACAUGUAUCAUUUAUUCUGUUUAAAUGAGAAUUAUAUCAUAAUAUUAAAUUAAACAGUUAUAUGACUAUUACAAAUACAUUGUUCAGUUUGAAUCACGUGGACAUAUACAUAUAUAUAUAUAGCGAAAGGUCAACAUUCUAUCGGCUAAGCUUAAGGAUAAAUGGACAUAUGUUUUUAUUUUAUAAUUUUCUAACGAUAGAACCGGCGUCACCAGUAAAGUUUGUGUUUUCUGUGUAGC
rnacentral:lncRNA from 1 species